GCUGCGGGUGCUGGGGAAUGGCGCCUUACAGGCUGCCCACCUGCCUCCUCAGGGUGGAAGGCGGGGCUUGGGUGUGAGCGUGCUGAAUCAGAACUUUCCUGGAAAGUCGCCACUUGGUGUGGUCAGAGGAUCACUGAAGUAACAACUGCACAGAGCCUGUGCUUAAGAUGGCAGGAUCGCAAGACAGAGCAACUGGAGCAAGUCCUCAUUAAGAAGAGCCGCCCGAUGCAUUUGGACUGCGAUGUGUUACGCCCAUGAGAUUUCAGGGUUAAUUUGUUACCUGGCCGUGGCCUAUCCUCUUCCAGCAGAUACAGAGGCUACUGCAGUUUGCAACUUUGCAGAUACCAGCAGAGGAAGAAAAACCUGGGAGACUGCUGCUAACCUAAUGUGGAGACUUGACUUAAACUUCAGCCAGACAAAGGCGGAAUCUUAAUAUGGAGGGGCCUGGCUCUGCAGGGAGGUCACCUGGGCUGGCUGGAUUUCAAUCCAGUUACACAGCAAAAAAGUUACAACCCAAGCUUUGGCGAUGCUGAGCCUUCUACUCUCAGGGAUUCCAAAGCAUUUGAUAAACUCUUUCUUUGUUCCAUUGU
ensembl:lncRNA TENM2-AS1 TENM2 antisense RNA 2